CAGUCGCCGCGGUAAUACGUAGGGCGCAAGCGUUAUCCGGAAUUAUUGGGCGUAAAGAGCUCGUAGGCGGUUUGUCGCGUCUGCCGUGAAAGUCCGGGGCUCAACCCCGGAUCUGCGGUGGGUACGGGCAGACUAGAGUGAUGUAGGGGAGACUGGAAUUCCUGGUGUAGCGGUGAAAUGCGCAGAUAUCAGGAGGAACACCGAUGGCGAAGGCAGGUCUCUGGGCAUUAACUGACGCUGAGGAGCGAAAGCAUGGGGAGCGAACAGGAUUAGAGACCCCCGUAGUCCCUGUCUCUUAUAA
rnacentral:rRNA from 1 species